UCCACAAGCCGCCCUCCACUACCUCUCUAUUGCCGGUGCCAAGGGAUGCCCCCUCCCGUGCCUCCCCUCCGCCAGCGAGAGGACUUCCUCCUCCGCUGUGCUCCUGCCUCUACAGAGAUUUCUGCCCCCUUCCAUGCCUCCUCACCGCUGCUGCGACAACCUACCCAGAGGCUGCUGCCCUCGCUCCGGCGGCACUCCCCGCUCUCUGCUUCGCCCUCGUCAAAGAUCCUGGUCACCAGAGAGCCUGAGGAGAGCAAGCAUCGCUCAAGCUCUGCAUGCUCUUGGCGGGCCAGGCGACACUGAGCUAGGCGCCGACGGAGGUCAUCCACAUCUUCGUUCUCGUGCUGCUCCUUGAAGAGGAUAUAAAAGUGAAGGCAGAAGAAAAAUAAUAAUAAAAUGAAAAGAAGGGACUUGAAGGACUGGGAAGAGAUUGACAAUACAACAUGAAGCAAAAACGGCGAACUAAGCUUCAACGGUAAUCUUCUAUUUACUCCUUAGACUGUCAUUUGAUUCAAUUUUGGACAAAUUUGAAUCAAGGUUUUUCUGGUAAUGGUUUAUUGUCUUUCUAGUUGUGUAUUACCUCUGUGUAAAGUUGGCAGAUUAUAAGACAACCAAUGUAUGCCAUUAUUUAUUUCAACCAAAUGACAGUGGAGAUAAUUAAGAGUCUUCUGCAAUCUAUCGUUGGUAUCUUGGCUCACGAUGGUUAGAAUAGCCUUUUUUUUACCACUGGAUUUUCGGAUGUUAGGGAACUUGGCUCACCAUGGUUAGAAUAGCCUUUCUUUUUUUCCUGCAAUAUUUUCAGGCUACUUUUGAUUAACUUCAGUCUUAUCUUACACAAAAAGUGUGAUGAGGUAAAAGUGAAUAUCACCCAUUUCAGCAAAGUGCUUUAUACUCUUUUGCAGCCACUCUUGUUGUGCUUCGUCAUGAACACUUCUUUUCAUAUACUUAUCGAAUAAAUUGAGAAAUGAAAGCCUCUUAUGCUUCUACAUCAAUUUCGACAGUAUGUGGAGAUUCAAAGGCUAUUCUAACAAGUGGGAUGUACUUUCACUAAACCCGAUGAUCCGAACAGAGGCUGUAAACCUGACUGAGAAAUACUCCCAGAUCACACACAAGCCUUUGAUAUGAUCGAGUCUGAAUACGGAAUUACCUGUACCGUAGUCUUUGUGCGGAUGUGCUCCUCUAUCUUCUUCCUGUUGCAGCCAAACCUGAAAUCCAUACGAAUCAAUCAGCUUGCUCAGCGACUGCAGAUUAUCUGGAAUUGGAGGCGAAGUAGAACAGAGCACGUAUCAGGGUACCUGUGGAGGGCAUCAAGGAUUCGACACCUUCAGUAGAUUUAUCCCUGGCGAUUCCCGGAGAUCAUGCUUUGAGGUACCCUUUAUAUAUGCUUGCACCAUAUCUCGCCCAGCCAUGCUUCAAGGGAUUACUUUCCUUUCCAGGAGAUUUAUGAUCUCUAGAUUUAUAUGAUUUUAAUUACCUUUCCUGUAAUUAUGGGUGGUGAUGGUGCCCUGAAAGUAUGGUGCGGGGAUGGAAUAUAAUCCUUGUAAUUCUUGUUUCCUGUAAUUCUUGUUUCCUAUAAUUCCUGCUGUCUGAUGGUCGUCAAAAAAUGUGUAAUCCUAUGAAUUGUUUCCUAUAAUGCUGGACAACAUUUAUGGCGCGCUGAUGCAUUGUUUGAUGGAAUGUAAUCCCAUGAAUUAUGGUCGGUGAUGGUGGACAUCAUUUAUGGCGCGCUGAUGGAAUUUCCUGUAAUUCUUGUUGUUGCCUGAUGGUCGUCCAAAAAAUGUGUAAUCCUAUGCAUUGUUUGAUGGUGUGAUGGGAGGGCAAAAUAGUCAGAUCAAAAAUAUGUAGGACGAAACCUUGGGC